rnacentral:rRNA from 1 species
CCUACGGGAGGCAGCAGUGAGGAAUAUUGGUCAAUGGACGAGAGUCUGAACCAGCCAAGUAGCGUGAAGGAUGACUGCCCUAUGGGUUGUAAACUUCUUUUAUAAAGGAAUAAAACGAGGCACGUGUGCCUUGUUGCAUGUACUUUAUGAAUAAGGAUCGGCUAACUACGUGCCAGCAGCCGCGGUAAUACGUAGGAUCCGAGCGUUAUCCGGAUUUAUUGGGUUUAAAGGGAGCGUAGAUGGGUUGUUAAGUUAGUUGUGAAAGUUUGCGGUUCAACCGUAAAAUUGCAAUUGAUACGGGCAGUCUUGAGUACAGUUGAGGUAGGCGGAAUUCGUGGUGUAGCGGUGAAAUGCUUAGAUAUCACGAAGAACCCCGAUUGCGAAGGCAGCUUACUAAACUGUGACUGACAUUGAUUCUCGAAAGUGUGGGUAUCAAACAGGAUUAGAUACCCCUGUAGUC